AUUGAACGCUGGCGGCAGGCCUAACACAUGCAAGUCGAACGAGUGGCGGACGGGUGAGUAAUUUCUGGGAAACUGCCUGAUGGAGGGGGAUAACUACUGGAAACGGUAGCUAAUACCGCAUACCAUCAGAUGUGCCCAGAUGGGCUUAGCGUGUUGGUGGGGUAACGGAUCACCAAGUCGACGAUCCCUAGCUGGUCUGAGAGGAUGACAAGCCACACUGGAACUGAGACACGGUCCAGACUCCUACGGGAGGAAGCAGUGGGAAAUAUUGAACAAUGGGCGGAAGCCUGAUGCAGCCAUGCCGCGUGUAUGAAGAAGGCCUUCGGGUUGUAAAGUACUGUCAGCGGGGAGGCGUUACCCGCAGAAGAAGCACCGGCUAACUCCGUGCCAGCAGACGCGGUAAUUC
rnacentral:rRNA from 1 species